ACUGCUGAAGGGGCACAGAAAUGUGAUCUUAGCACCAUGCUAUGAUGAGUUCUUGCUUCCUUUAAACUCUGAGAAGAAACCUUCAUAAAGUUGUCCUGUGAGGUUUUUUCUCUCUGAUUGUUUUGGGACGAAAAGAAAGUAUAUUUUUGGACGCAUCAGCCCAAGGGCCAGAUUGAGGUUUGAUGAGGCCCUAAGCUACUGAAGGUAAUGGGGCCCUUUAUAUGUCCAGCUGUCCCUUGUCAACAACAAAUUGUCACAGUUUUUUGUGUUGAAUAUAUGCUAUAUGGUAAUUUAUGGACCCCAUAGUUAUCUAAAGCCGUUUGCGCAUGUUGCCAUGCAACUAGUCCAUGCAGAAUGUAGGCACCCUAUAUAUAGAAAUGAGCAAACCAGUGAUAUUUUAGGGAGCAGGCUAGCAGGCGGGGCUAUUGCUUACAUCAUAGGAGCCUACACAACACAAAACACUGUUGCUGUAUGUAGGCUUUAUUUUAUUUGUUUUUUUAUCUUAUAUUUUGGAAAUGUACAUCCAGGUUUUUAUUCCCUUUAAUUUUUGGGGGGGCCCGCAAGAGAGGGGGGCCCUAAGCUAUAGCUUGUUUAGCUUAUACGUAAAUCCGGCACUGACAGCCCCCACAAUUCUGUUGGAGGCCUUGGGAGUUUUUGCUUUCACUUUGUUUGCAGUGGGUCCUGGGAAACGUGAAAUCUGCAAGCACAGCAAGCAGCAACACUCACCGGGUGGCACGGCGCACUUGCCAGGUCUUUGCAGAAAGCACUGAAAACAAAUCUCCAGGUUUCACCCCAGAUGAGCAGAAAUUAGCAGCUCAUCAAUUCUUCAAGAGCAGCUAAUUAGCAAGUACCCAGGAGAUCUGCGCUCUCUCUCAACAUCAAGCCACUCAGCCAGCCCAGAUUUGAGCAUGCCGGGGGUGCUGCUGUCUGUAAUUGAGACUCUCAGCCAGGAUCCAAGUGGCCUGGGGUCUCCCCUGGAGAAAACGCCAGCCAAGCAGGGAAGUGCCGCAAAUUGCAGUUGUCAUCAGCACAGCUUCUUGUGGAGACGGCCAAAGAUCAUAAAAUGCUUCCAGCCAGAAAAGUGUCCCAACACUCA